UGCUCACCCUCCGAUCCUUCUGUCUCCUCAGCUGAUAAAGAGACUGUACCACCACUGUCCAUGUCCAUGAACCAACAGGCACUGGACCCAGAGGAAGAGGAGAACCUACAGAGGAUACAGUACAGGAAGCAGAAGCUGUUCUCAGAGAAACUCCAGUGGAUUUACAUGGUCCUGUGUGGCAUCUCUCACAUGCGAAACAGAGAUCUGAAGACACUGGUUCCUCUCAACAGCAGCUAUGUGAACAUCAUCAUGAAGGACACAGAGAAGACCAACAUCCUGCUGAAGCAGUCGCCCAGCUACAACCCUCCGUUGAAUUACACCAGGCAGCUGGUGUCCCUGGCCCCAGAGGACUGUCACAGCAUCAGCCGUGACGUGUGGGACACCUUCAUCAGUCACCAGGACACCACAGAGCCCUCGAAGUUAACUACCACCCGAACCACAGGGUAA
rnacentral:lncRNA from 13 species